GACGAACGCUGGCGGCGUGCCUAAUACAUGCAAGUAGAACGCUGAAGGAGGAGCUUGCUUCUCUGGAUGAGUUGCGAACGGGUGAGUAACGCGUAGGUAACCUGCCUGGUAGCGGGGGAUAACUAUUGGAAACGAUAGCUAAUACCGCAUAAGAGUAGAUGUUGCAUGACAUUUGCUUAAAAGGUGCAAUUGCAUCACUACCAGAUGGACCUGCGUUGUAUUAGCUAGUUGGUGGGGUAACGGCUUACCAAGGCGACGAUACAUAGCCGACCUGAGAGGGUGAUCGGCCACACUGGGAUUGAGACACGGCCCAGACUCCUACGGGAGGCAGCAGUAGGGAAUCUUCGGCAAUGGACGGAAGUCUGACCGAGCAACGCCGCGUGAGUGAAGAAGGUUUUCGGAUCGUAAAGCUCGGUUGUAAGAGAAGAACGAGUGUGAGAGUGGAAAGUUCACACUGUGACGGUAUCUUACCAGAAAGGGACGGCUAACUACGUG
rnacentral:rRNA from 1 species